UGGAUACUUGCGUGGCUCCAGGGACUUGCUCACAAGCUGUAGAUGAGCCAACAGUGUGAUGUGGCUGGAGAUUGCUAUCUCCUGUAACAGUAGUUUCUUUCUGACAUAGGGCAUUUGAAAAGAGAUUGUCUCCAAAUUCUGUUCUGGGCAUUUCCCUCCAAGAUUCCUUCCAAACAUUUCUUACAGAAGUUCUGUGAACAGGGUAGUGCUCGUGGAUCAUCAAAUAAACUGCAGCAGAUGGGGCAUGUAAGAUCUUCAAGAAGCUCCAUUGUGGCCGAUGUACAGUCUGGAAGCCUGCAGUCCUAACUCAGCAGCCUAGGUCAGACAGGUGCCCAUGUUCCCUACAGGGGAUCCCGGGCCUUGGAGGAAGCGGGAAGAAGAGUGAGAGGGAAGGCUGCUAGCCCUGCUGCCAUUUGGCUUCCUUUCCCACACGGGGAAUAGAUAUUAGAAUAUCAGAGUCACUACAUUUUGUGGUUACUUGCUGAAUUUAAAUGCUGUCUAAGUAUUUGACAAAAUAACUUCCACACAACUGUCUUCUUUCAGCUAAAGCCCAUAAUACUCCAGUGUUGGUGAUCCAGUGAACAGAAUGGUUAGAAUGACAAGGGGAAACAAAUGUGUAUUAGAUCCCAUGUGUAACCAGUUCUGUUCAACCUAGCUACCUUAUAUAAUGCAUGGGAGAAUGUCAGUAAAUAAAUUAACUAAUUAAUUAAUGCUCAAUAUUGGAAAUCCUAUUUUUCCAUCUUGGUUGCACCUGCUCCACAUAAGCUAACAGUUCUAGUUAAUGAAGAAGCAUUUACACUUUAGCCUUCAGUGGGAGAUAAAUGAGCCCUUGGAUUGCAUCUAUACUGAUUGCUACUUGUGUUCUUUAGAAGCUGCAUUGGAGGUGUGGUACCUUUAUGCUUCAGGCGAAAGAAAUUCAACUGAAACAUCUAUAUUCUUUAUCUGGUGACACGUGAGGAUGUCCAAGCACAAAGCUUGCAAAUUUGAAGGAAACAAAACAAAGAGCAGGUGGGACAAAGAAGGAGAGGCGCUGGGCAAGAAGCAACAGAAAUAUCAUGAGAAAGGUGAAAAUGGAAAAUGUCUGUCGACCCACACGAUUCCUGCUUGGCCACCACCCCCCAUGAUGGAAAUUCGGGCCUCCUGCAGACCCUCCGCAGUUCUUCCAAGGCUUGAAGUCUUUCUUUUACCCUGCUCCUGAAAUUCUUCUUCCGUGAGAUGGCAGAUUUGGAUCUUUUCAGUUCUGAAAAAACUAAUGGCUUUCCUAGGUAGGAAGGAAAAAAGGAAGGAAAACUGAAGAAUAAAGGGAAAGGGAAGAAUACUGGCA
rnacentral:lncRNA from 1 species